rnacentral:lncRNA from 12 species
UUCUGCCUAAUAUCAUAUUAUUUUUAUCUAAAAUAAAGAAUUCUAGAACUUUGAGUAAAAUAGAUUGUUCUAAGUAUAUUGUCAUUCCUUUGCUCUCAUGGCUACCCCAUUGAAUCUGUGAUCUUCAGAGAAGCCUGUUUCCACUUGCUAAAGAAGUAUCCUUGAUGUUGUUCUUUUGUUGUUAGACAAACGGACAGUCCUAAAGAAAUGGGGAAAAAGAGACUCUGCAAAGAUUCUGCAGUUCAAGGAAAAAAGUUUGGACAGAUUGGAAACCAAAAGUUUUGCCUCAGCUGAGAGAGCCGGCCCAAAUCUCACUUACAGCAGUGGCUCUCCACUUAGAUUUCCCUGGGACACUUUGAAAAUAUACAGGUGCCCAGGCCUCACACUCAAUCAGGGUGUCCAGGGGGCAGGGGGCUCACGUCAUCUCUAUGUGUGAUUCUUUAUUUCCUUUCAAG